rnacentral:rRNA from 1 species
CAGGCCUAACCACUGCAAGUCAACGAGAAAGUCGGCUUCGGCUGAUGAGUAAAGUGGCGAACGGGUGAGUAACGCGUAGGUAACCUACCUUCAGAUUGGGAAUAACCUUACUAACGUGGGGCUAAUACCGAAUGAUGCAAUAUUUUCGCAUGAAAAUAUUGUUAAAGAAGGGGAUUCGUAAGGACCUUUUGUCUGAAGAUGGACCUGCGUUUCAUUAGUUAGUUGGUGAGGUAAUGGCUCACCAAGACGACGAUGAAUAGCCGACCUGAGAGGGUGACCGGCCACACUGGGACUGAGAUACGGCCCAGACUCCUACGGGAGGCAGCAGUAAGGAAUAUUGCGCAAUGGCCUAACGGCUGACGCAGCAACGCCGCGUGACCGAUGAAGCUCUAAGGAGUGUAAAGGUCUGUUAGGAGGGAAGAAAAGUUCAGACGUGAAUAACUUCUGGAC